UACGGAGGGUGCAAGCGUUAUCCGGAUUCACUGGGUUUAAAGGGUGCGUAGGUGGGUUGGUAAGUCAGUGGUGAAAUCUCCAGGCUUAACUUGGAAACUGCCAUUGAUACUAUCAAUCUUGAAUACCGUGGAGGUCAGCGGAAUAAGUCAUGUAGCGGUGAAAUGCUUAGAUAUGACAUAGAACACCAAUUGCGAAGGCAGCUGGCUACACGAAUAUUGACACUGAUGCACGAAAGCGUGGGGAUCAAACAGG
rnacentral:rRNA from 1 species